UAAGGGGAUAAGAGGCUUGUGAUCUCAAGAUCAGUGAGAUCUAAAGGACAGCAGCAAUUAUCUCCACCAUGGCCUGGGUUCUUAUCAUCCUCACUCUCUUCAAAGGGUCUCUUUCUCAGCCGGAGUUAACUCAGCCACCAUCAGCAUCUACUUCUCUUGGAAAAUCAGUGUCACUUACCUGCUCACUAAGCAGUGGGUACAUGAAAUAUAAUAUGGACUGGUACCUGCAGAGUCCGAAGAAAACUGUCCAAUUUUUGUUGAGAGUGGGCCCUACUGGUAAUGUAGUAUCCAAGGGAAGUAGGAUUCCUGAUAGAUUCUCAAGCUCUGGCUCUGGAUUGGUUAGGUAUCUGGGAAUCUCAAAUAUUCAGGCUGAGGAUGAGAAUGUCUAUUAUUGUGGAUCUGAUCAUGGCAGUGGAAGUAACUAUAUGUAACCCACAGUUACACACACAGUAAGGAAGUGAGACAAAAUCUUCGUUAAUCUGCCCAGUGCUCACUGAUUUCCCCGUUGUCUUGAAUAAAAGUAUUCAGCACUUUCU